CCUCUCGUAGCAUAGGUGUAACGCGCCCUAUCUAGUGAUCAGGGAGUCGUGAGUUCGAUUCUUACCGAGAAGA
rnacentral:tRNA from 1 species